GCUGCAGGCGGCGCUGAGGGACCUCACCUCCCGAACUCGGGGCGCCCGGCCCCCCGCCUGCCCGACCCCCGCUGUCUCUCGGCCCGCGCGCUCCAGGCGGCGCGGGGACUCGCGGGGAGCAGCACCGCCGUCCCACCAGCUCCCGCCGUCAGCCGCCAGCCUGCGCGCUCACACGUGUACACUCGCCCCUCACGCCAUUCGCGUUCACACGCGCGCAAUCACGCACGCGCACUCUCACGCACGUACACACGCGCAGCCCGCCGCCCGACGGCAUCCCCGCCCCUCCUUCCCCCACCGGGACAGAGCCCAGGAGGAGCGACCCCGGCCCCAAACCGCCUUACCUGCAGCCGCCGCUCGGCGCCGCGCCUGCCCGCGCCCUGCGGUCGGACCCGCGGGGUGGGGAGCGGAGGUCUGAGGGACGCCCGCCUAGGACGCCGCACCGCGCUGCAGCUUCUAUCGCCCCUCCGGGAGCCUGGGCCGGUGAUUCGCUUCUUUUCGCUGCGCGGUUACCACGGCGGCGCGCUUGCGCGCUCGUGCCCCAAAGCAAAUGCAGGAUUCCAGGGGAUUGAGCGUGUAAACCACAAAGAACGUCACAGGAGACAGGACCUCUGCUGUCUGCAGGCACCCAGAUGCUGAAGGAGUGGAGCCCGGGGCCUCAGGAGGACCCCGCAAGGUCCUCCCGCACCUCUCCUGUCCUCACCCACAGCAGGCUGGUCCUGCAGCCUCCGCAGCUGCACCUCCCUGCAGGGCCGGCCAGUAUCUAUCUGACAUGUGCCCAGGGCGGUGCUCCCCACCAGGAAGACCAGCUCCUCCUCGGGGCCAUCAUGGCCUCUAGUGGCCUGUUGUUUCUAGAGUUAGAGAAAUGCUGUGAAAAACGGUUAUCUCUUUGCAUUACUCUGCAGUCCCCUAAUCUUUAAAAAAUGUUUACUUAUUUUGCGAGAAACAACAUGAGUGCUGGGAGCCGCACCAGCCUUGCUGGAUGACAGGGUCACAGUAAGGAAAUGGCAGAUGUGCACGGCUCCUAUGCAUCUCCUUCUGCUACUACUGCUCAUGUGAAAUUAAGCCUGUUGCUCUUGAUUAAGCCUCACAAUAGUCCAUAUCAGACCGAUGUUCUCCACACACAGAUACCUCAUCUGAAGAGCAUAUUCCCACCUGUAUAAAGAGGAAUUUAAACACAGCACUGCAGAUGUCUGUCCAAAGGCUCUUCUAAUGAGCCUCACAAACUUAAGACAUAGACAAUAAAGGGGGUUAAGAACACAAGAGUUACUAUUUAACUCUGAUCCAGAGAAAAAGAGCCUAAUUUAGGAAUAAGAAAACAAACAAGAGCCAGGCAUAAAGUACCAGACAUACCUGUGCUAAUUGGUGCCCAUUGUGAGGAUGGGUAAGAGUAGUUACAAUUUAAAUUCAAAGGCAAAGGCCAGCACAUAUAGGACACCUAUGACGCUUACACCUUCAACAUCAAAGAACAAGGUUGACACAAGAUUUACUUACUAACCAGUGGGAAUACAUUGUUCCUCUUGUGAGCCAGACAGAAUGACUUCUAGCCUUGUUUAUGCCUGAAUCUUAGAGUUAUUGUUAUAAACAAAUGUGUUGGCUAUCUGCUUCUCACUGAAAACAUCCUGUUAUAUUCUUAGUUGUAAGAUUUACUACUGGUUCAAACAAAUUUAUAUGUUAUCUGCUUUUCACUGGGAAUAUCCUGUUACCCCAUGAUGUGUAAAUUACCACACUGUAAUUAGACUAGUUCUGCAAAAAUGCCUCUUUAAAACCUGUUUCUGCACCCUUUUCAAAGCAUGUUAUCACUGAGAAUUAUUUGUAGUAAAAAUUCUACUUUUUGAUGUCAUGUUAACACUUAAAUCUAUAAAUAAGUAUACAAAACCUGCCAGGGCAAAGGAUGCCUGACUGGUGACCAAAAAAGAA
rnacentral:lncRNA from 1 species